UGAUUCUGCGUCCUGUUCUUCUA
rnacentral:piRNA from 1 species